CUGCCGGGUCUGACGUGGGUGAAGUCCUAGCUUUGUCAGCCUUCAGCCAGGAAAUGGGAGGGCAGAGGAACUGCUCCAGCAGGAGAACUGUAUGGGAAUUCUGUGAGGGCUAACGAACCGUGCAUGCUACAGCCCCAGCACAGGGCCCGACGGCACGUUAGUUACACAGGUCAUCGAGGAAUUUGCAAGAGACAAGGGCCGCCCUCCGCAUGGGGGUCAGUCUCUCCUGAGUUGAAGGCCCCAGGCCUCCCUGGUUUUAUGCUGUGUAUUUCCAGGCCCCCUAGGGAAGGGGCUGUGUUGGCUACUGUUCAGGUCUUCCCAUGGCACCCCUGUCACCCUGCAGUGUUCUGGGGGUGCCUGACAGGUGCUCGCUCGUGUGAGGAAUGUGCCCUGGGAAGCAAGCUUAGGAUGACAUGUGGCUUCAGCCCACUAACCAGUCUCUCUUCCCUUCCUUCUCCGAGCCGUGUGGCCAGAGAGUUUUGAGGGAAUGCCGUUUUUGGUAGGCAUUACGCAGUGAUGUCUAGGGAGUGGUCCCUCCUGUGUCCCACCCUGUGCCAGUCGUACCUGAAGCACAUGCUUGUUGUCUUUUGUGUGCAGCACGGCCGAGACGGUUGCCAAGGAGAUGCCAGGCUUGAUCUCCAUGGGCACCAGGGAGUCAGCAAGCUGAAAGCAAAUGCAGAGUUUCAGGUCAGGCUGGCAUGGAAGCCAAGCAGGGGAGAGGCUCUCCCCGGGCAGGUGGACCAGAUUCCAGGGAGACUCCAGCUGGGGCUGUUCAUAGGAGACGAGGAGGCAGCUCUGUCGCCGUGGAAGUCAGCCUGGGGUGUACAGUAACUGCGGCUCAGCACCUCUGGGAGGGAGGGUGUCCAUGUGCACCCCACAAGUGAUUCUCAUAAGAACUGCACCCAAGGACUGACAUCCCAGUGCUGGGGAUUAAACUCCAGGCCUCAUGCUCUACCACUGAGCUACAUUUCCAAUCCCUGAAAUAUCUUUAAGGAUACAGCAUAGUUGCAGUUGGGUGAAAAAGUCUACCGGGCAUGAUUCCAGUAUACACACGCACAUGAACGGCGGACAAGAUGAGACCACAGACAUCCAAUGACCUUCAGAGUGGUGGGCGGUGGUGCACGCCGGCUGGCAGUCCCAGCACUUGGGCAUGAGAAGGACUGCACAGUGUAACGCCCACCUACUUAACAGAAGCGGCACUGGUUGCAUUUAAACUCUAGUUUGGAAUCCAUGUGUGGAAAGCGGCUCUGCACCAGCCUUACUGGGGCCGGAGGAGCAACGUCAGGAGCCUGGAGCUCAGAACCAAGGCUGGGAACUUUGUGCAGGGCUCGAAGACCAUUACUCUCAAGUCAGAGCGUCAGCAGGACCUGUCCCAGCGCCAUGCAGCUGUCUGGGAGCUGCGAGGAUGGGGCUGGAAUGCAGGCAGCCUUACAGAGCAGCAGGGCCAUGUCCUUCAUCACCUGCACUUCUUUAAGCAGCUUGGACACCUGGAUGAAGUUGAGGCGUGUGUCGAUGGGGCAGUAUAUGCACUUCAUGGCCAAGGGCUGGUAGGGAGCCAGCGCCUCCAGGUAGGAGAAGUCGGGUUCUAGGGAGAGCACAGAAGGGCGUUUUAAUGAGAGGCAAGAGAGCAGCUGCGGGGUGGGUGCAGGGGGUGUGGGGUAGGGCUUCAAGCCAGAAAGGAGGGCAGGGUAAACCUUCGGGUGGACCAGGGCUGGGAGGCACAGAUGUAGGCUCGGAGUGCUCACCAUAAAGCGUGGAUGAGAUACCGGGAGAGGAGAGAAUGCAGUGCUUUACAACAAAUGCCAGCUGGUCAGUGUAAAGAAAUGAAUCACACCAAGAAUGAAUUCCGACUACAAUCACCGGUAAAUGCUAAAACACGAAGGUAAGGAAGAAGAGGAUCUGUACAUAUCUCCAAGUUCCCCCACAAGACGCUGAUUAAGUACAAAAAGCCGCGGCGCAACUGCAGUGCAGAGGCCAUCCCAGCCUGCUAUGCCAGGCAUGGGAGCUGAUACCAGCUUUGGGACAAACCAUCAGGCUAUCCCCAAGCCCUCGUGAGACAGUCGCUCCCAGCAGGAGGCCUGGCCCCACACGGGGAGCCAUCCUUGUAUCCUUG